CUGCACGCUGCAACCUUUGGCUAGUCCGAUUUACAAAUGAAGAGUCUGCCCUAUGCGUGUGCUAAAUCAAACUUCUCUGCUGUUUCAGUGUUGCAAAUCUGAUUAUUUUCAAAAUCUUGUUUGUGUCAAUUUGGCAGCUACAUUA
rfam:Picea glauca, whole genome shotgun sequence.